AACCUUCUAGCAAGGCGUCUGACUACGAAUCAGGAGAUUGCAGGUUCGAUCCCUGCGUAGGUCA